rnacentral:tmRNA from 1 species
GUGGUGACGCGUCACUUAAACAGUGUCACAAAACAAUAACUGGCGAAUUUAAUUACGCUCUCGCUGCCUAAGCGAAUAAAGUAGCUCAGGCUUAAUCACGCCAGAUAUGGUGUGACGGGACGUCUCCCGGGCGGUUCUGCCCUGAUCCAACCCGAUACGGAGGCGCACGGAAUCCGGGGCUGGCCUGAAGAUUGUUCCGGUCGGAAGGUGAGACAAAAAGGAACUAAGGUCCGGUUAGGUUGUUCUGCAGCUGGCCGGUCACAAAAAUCAAGCAGGACUAAGCAUGUAGAAAGCGUAUGGUCUCCAUGUUUGGACGCGGGUUCGACUCCCGCCAGCUCCACAA